GUGGAAGCAAGCCAGGCCCAUUAGGGCAGGGAGUGCUGCUGUGGCCUUCUGCAGGAAAAAAUGUCUCUCUGUACCUUCUCACUGUCUUCCUGGGCCAAUUCAGAUAUCCACUGGGUCACUGCACUAGUGGGUGGGGUCACCGUGCCUGUUUAAAAACCCCAGUGCACAUGGGCGUGGCCCCUUUCCUGCUCUGCCAGGGCAGUGCUGAGCCUGGGGCUGGCUCCCCAGCCCUCAUCCACUUUGCAGAGUGCAGGGAGGAAAAGCCCAGGGGCUGCUCUCCCUUACAGCAGGUGCUUCUCUGUUGAUGUUCCUCCCCCACCUGUUUCCAAGUAGCCCGAGACAUGUCUUUCUCGCACCUUCUUCUUCCCCUGCUGCAAGCCCACUCCCGUUCAGACAGCGUGAACCUGAGUCUUUUUCCUGGCAGGCCACCUGGGCCACGAAGGCCCACACAUCGAGGCACCUGCUGCUUCUUAGUGCUGGCCUUUGCUCACCUAAGACUCAGGUGUGGCCAUAGGAGAAAGAGGUUCUUUGGCGCAAGGCUAUGGGGCCUGACAAGCUGAGGAGAAAGGUGGCCACAGCAUUGCUUCCUAGGUUGGCGCAGGGGGUCAAAGCCCCAGCUGGCAACAAGGAGGAAAGAGCCAGGCUUAAUCUUGGUCUCUCCUGUCUCUGUGGAAGCCUGAAUUCCCCUCGGUUUAUGAGGUAAAGAAUAGCUGGUCUCCUUCACAUGCUUUCCCGACCCUAUCCUGGAUAAACUGAGGCAGGAAGGCAUCUGCUUUCUACUCCAGUGAUGUUGCGGCCGGGAUGCCUUCUGGGGAACUCGAAUGCUGCAGGCAGAGGGGCUAGUUUCUGAAUUGCUUGUGACAUGUUUGGCUACCAGUGACCAAAGUCCUCUAUGGCUGGCAUUCUUUAGUUUAAAGAAUCGAGGGUGUCUCUUAAACCAGGGAUGAGGGCCUUGGAAACCUUCCAAAAAUUUUUAUACAACGCGGGUACAUACAACUUUUUACAAAUAUGAAAUCAUACUGUACAUCCUUUCUUUUGUGACCUAUUUUCAUUCAAUAACAUUUUACAGUUUUCAUGUUAAUAAACCUAGCUGUACAUUACUGGUA